rnacentral:misc_RNA from 1 species
GUUCGAGCGUCAUUACAACCCUCAAGCUCUGCUUGGUAUUUGGUUUCACCUGUUAGGUGGGCCAUAAAAUCAGUGGCGGUGCAUUCGGCUUCAAGCAUAGUAAUACAUCCUUGCUUUAGAAGUUUGAAUGUCACCUGCCAACAACCCCAAUAUUUUUAAAGGUUGACCUCGGAUCAGGUAGGGAUACCCGCUGAACUUAA